AAAAGGAUAUAGAAGAUUUAAGCUUUUGCUUACUAUCCUUUCCCUUUUUGCUCUCCACACACCUCAGCUGGGAACCUUUAUAUAUGCAGCAUUUAUUUUGUAUUAUAUCGGUAAUUAUAAAGUUACCUAGGAGGCUAGAGGCAACCAAGAGAAGGAAUGUAGUCUGACUGCAGUGACGUGCUUAUUGCAUACCAAAUAUCAUCUCAGAAUUUUUCUCCCACUUAGAAACAUCCUAGCACUUAAGGCCUUUUUGUCUUGGUUUUGGUACCAGGGAUCGGAACUCCGGACUUUGUGCUUAGGAGGCAGGUGGAACCACUGAGCUAAAUCCCU
rnacentral:lncRNA from 1 species